GGGUGGCGGAGGAAGGUGGAGGGCUAGCUAGAGGACAAGCACCUGCUCUCGCGGCGGUGACGGCGUGGUUUGGGGCGCACUAAGCGCGCUGGGGAACGAGGAAAAGGUUAGACUCCGGCGGCACACCAAGGAGAGCUUAGGAAGUUAGUCAGGAGCGUCCGAGGUGAAACAAAAGGGGAUCCUUAGCUCGCAUUCCUGGAGUGGUUCGAGACGGCUGAGGCCGCUAAGACUGCUUGCUAAAGCCGGUGUGUUCUGGCGUGGUGUAGCUCGAGAAGUUGUUUAGGCCUAGAGCGGCUUCAUAACGGGAACGGCCUCGAAGGGGCUUAUCAAGGUAACGGAGACUUGUGCCCUAUGGCUCGAGGGCUAGUGCGGGUUUUAGCGGUUGUGGUAGCUCGCUGCCACGCGGUCCUUUCCUGCGAGGGUAGAGGCAACUUCGAUGGUAGCAGAGGCAGUAGCGUUCGGCGUAGGCGAGAAGUGGAGUAGAAGUGACCUCUCGGUGGCCUCCUCGCGGCGGUCGGUGCAGGCUUCGGCAGCGACAAAAGGGGACGAAGCUAACGAGCCUCGCACUGCUCAUCUUAAUAGUCCUAACACUCAUGCUACUAGAAGUAGGCUGAAUGUCUAAAAUAUGCUGCUCACUCACUAUGCUACAUCCCAAUGCUACAGAUAUGAGCUGUAAACGGACACCACAACUACCUGAAGUACUUCUAAAAUAAACGAAAAAGCGACAUAAAAUAAACAUACGAUCGAACUCGAUACUUCCAUACAUAAUAUAAUUUAAGACCUAGAUACUACAUUACAAUACUGUACACC
rnacentral:rRNA from 1 species